UGAGCGUCGGUCCUACCGUGACUCUGAAAUACGCGAGCGCGCGAAGCUUUCAGUAGUAAUUUGCUAAGGAAGUGUGGUGGAUGAACGUAUCACCAUGACCACGAAAAGUGAUAAUAGUGACGAGACCCCAGUGACUUUUGAGGACGCUUUGGAAAAAACAGGCAAUGGGGUCUACAACAUCCUACUAGUGAUGACCUGCUCCCUCAUCCUGCUGGCCAUCGGCAUAGACCUGUUCGGGUUCAGCCUGGUGGUGGCAGCAGCCUGUGACCUGGAGCUGACCGUCUUCCAGAAGGGAAUAUUGACUUCUUUGCCUUUUGUUGGUAUCCUCCUAGUAUCCUACCUAUGGGGUUACGUAUCAGACACGAGAGGGCGUCGCUUCACGCUGGUGAUACCUCUGCUGCUCUCCUUCAUACUGUCCUGCAUCAGCAGCCUGUCUCCUCACUGGCUGUUCUUAGGACUCUUCAAGUUUCUGUGUGUUUGUUUUGCAUGUGCUGCAAACUCAGCGACCUACACUCUGGUGGGAGAGUCAUGUAUCCAGAGAGUGAGGAACCGGUACAUGCUGAUGAUGACCUGUCUACUGUUGCUGUCCCCGGCCGUGGCUGGUGUACUAACCUAUCCAACACUGAAACUAAAGUUCGCCGUGGCAAUGCCCUGGUUGAACAUAGUCUUCAAACCCUGGAGGCUGCUGAUCAUAGUCCUGGCCCUACCUUCAGGGCUCGGAGCCCUGGGCAUGUACUUCUUCUCCGAGUCUCCCAAGUUCCUCUUCAAUUCUGGCAGAAGUGACGAGGCUUUAGCUGUUCUGAGGAGGAUACAUGCUGCUAACCAUAGGGGUUCUAAAGAGGAGUAUCCCGUAAAAACCUUAUCCCUCGAAGGCUACACCCAAAAGAAGCAGAUGUCCCUCAUCAGAGCGAUGUACGAGCAAAGCGCCCCCCUCUUCAGAAAGCCAUACCUCUGGAGGAGUGUCCAGCUGUUCUACAUCGUCGCAGUCGUGUACAUCACUAACAAUAGCUUCUUAGUGUGGCUUCCGUACAUCCUCAACUUGAUCAGGAUAUCCUUGGUUGAUGGUGCAGCCACGGGAAAUAUUUGCGAACUCAUCAGCAACAAACCAGGGGGCAAUUCUACUAGAAAUCUUGAAAACACUUGCAUCGGGACCGUAGAAGAAAGCAUCAUCUUCACUCUCAUCGCUUCCCAAUCCAUCUUCGCGUUCUUCAACUUCCUCAUCUCGUACCUUCAGAACAGGCGGAGAGUGGUGCUGAUCUGCAUCCUGUGCCUCUCUUCACUCAGUGGAACAGCCCUGAACUUAGUCCCGGAGCCUAUAUCCAGUGUGUUCUUCUUUAUGGUCUUCACGUGUACCUGUUUAGGAAUGGGCAUUUUGGCCUCUUAUUUCGUGGAUAUUUAUCCGACUUCUUAUAGGGGUAUGGCAGCUUGCCUGAGUAUCAUGGUGGGGCGCAGCAGUACAUUUAUCGGCAUCAAUGCUGUGGGGAACCUCAUCUUCAACCAGUGUCAAAUCACAUUCUACAUGUGGUCUUUAUUAGUUUUAAGUAGUGCAGUAGCUGCAUGGUUCUUGCCCCCGGACAAACCAGCUGAAGCCAAGCAAAAUGCAGUGUAACCACGUAUCGUAGUCAAAAUCAAAAUCAAAAGUCAUUUAUUCAAAGUAGGCUGAAAAUCAGCACUUUUCGAACGUCAAAACAAAAGACAGCCCCCAAAACGCCCGCCCUUCACCACUUCCUAUGUGUUUUUGCUGGGAAGAAGAAGUGGUGGAACAAACUCCCCAGCAACACAAUUCUGUCUGAAUGGUUUGAAGAACCGUAUACAAAUAUUUAAAUAUCACUAUACAACAUUGUAUACAUAAAUUUGUAUAUAAAAUCAAUUUAAAUACUUAAUCAUGUUGGCUAGUACACACCUUACCCAGAAAUUUAAUAAAAAAAGAGUGAAAAAUAUAAAAAAUAUAAUGCCUCCAUUCAGUGAAGAUAGAUAUAGUUUAGGGCGUACCCACCGACAUGUCAAACAGUUUUUAUGAAAAAAAAUUAAAUAAAUAACAACAUAAACAAUGAAAACGGUGAACUAGGACUACCGUUCAAACCAAAAGUCAUAUAUAUUAGGUAUAUUACGGGUGUACAAAUAUGUAGUCAGCAAGACGACCUGGUACCACAAGCAGCACCCGUUCACGAGCAUAACGCGAGGAUCAGCCAUCGCCCCCCUCGCACAUUUUUGAGGGAGGGAGGCAACCCGACCACCGACGCUACCGCAAGCAAUACCGUCAAAGGGAGCAUGACGACUUGCAGCUACACGACAAGGAAACAGUUAAUACUAAUAGAUUCGCAGUCGCUAGUAGACCAUUUACAAAAUUAAGAAACAACUCAUCGUAAAAACAGAACGAUGAUGGUAAUUUGUCAGUAUAAAUAAAUAAAAAAUGUCACGUAUAAAAUAAUAUAAAUCACAUCAACUUAUAAUGAUAACUUUUGAAGCUGUCCAGUGUUUAACAUGAGGACCAACUAUUUUUAUCGUUUAUGUAGUCAUUAACUGUAUAAUAAGCUUUCUUCGACAGAAUAGAUUUGACCUGCACUUUAAAUUUAUCAAAAGGCAAUUCUAAAAACGACUGAGGAAGUUUAUUAUAAAAUCGAAUACCAAGCCCCAUAAAUGUCCCAUGUACCUUGUGAAGCCUGUGAAUGGGUACGCACAGUUUAUGCUUGUUCCUAGUGUUGAUACUGUGGACAUCACUUUUCUUGGUGUAGUGAUGAAUAUUCUGCCUAAUGUAUAAUAUGUUAGCAAGGAUGAAUUGCGAUGCCACAGUAAGGAUACCUAUUUCUUUAAAAAGUUCCCUUAAGGAAUGCCUGCUACCUAACUUAUAUAUUGCACGAACAGCUCGUUUCUGUAAUACGAAAAUGUUUUCUAUAUCUGCAGCUUUGCCCCACAGUAGAAUACCGUAGGACAUAACGCAAUGAAAGUAACUAAAAUAGACUAGUCGAGCUGUGUCUACGUCAGUGAAUUGUCUUACUUUUCUGACGGCGUAGGCAGCAGAACUAAGCCUACCCGCGAGGCUAGAUAUAUGUGAGCCCCACUGUAGCUUUGCAUCAACUGUUAUUCCCAGAAACACUGUUGACUUCACAGUUUCAAGAACUUCAUUAUUUAGGAUAAUAUUAGGUCCUAAGUGUUUUACAUUAGGCAAGGUGAACUUAACACAUUUGGUUUUUUUAGCAUUAAGAACUAAAUUAUUUGUUGUAAACCAGUGAGUAACUAAGGAGAGUGCAUUGUUCACGUUCAUCUGCAAAUAAUACUACAUCACAUAUAUUUUUCAGAUGGAAUGGUAAAUCAUUUAUAUACACUAAGAAUAAGAAAGGACCUAGAAUGGAACCCUGCGGCACGCCCAAUUGAACUGGUAGGACUGAAGAUUUGACAUUUUGAUGUCUACGCAUUGCAAUCUAUGAUUUAAAUAUGAUUCUAUGACGUUUAAAGCUCCGUUUUGAACGCCGUAAUAACGUAACUUGCGUAAAAGUGUGUCAUGUUGAACGCAAUCAAAAGCUUUGGAGAGGUCGCAAAAGACUCCAAUUGCGUUUUGAGAGUUUUCCCAUGCAUUAAAAAUAUGUUUUAAAAGAGCAACACCAGCAUCGGUAGUCGAACGACCUCUAGUAAAACCAUAUUGUUCGCCAUGGAGGAGGCAAUUUACAUUAAAAUAACUGAGCAACUGCUUGAGUAUUAACUUUUCAAAUAUUUUACUAAACGCAGGUAGAAUUGAAAUUGGUCUAAAAUUACCAAUAUCCGACUUGGUUCCUGAUUUAAACAAGGGAACGACUUUACUUUGUUUCAUGAGGUCGGGAAAUACACCCGCAUCAACGCAUUUAUUGAAUGUAACAGCUAGAUAAGGAGCAACAAUGUCAAUGAUAUUACUUAAAAGUUUAGUGGAAAUACCCCAGUAAUCACCGGUGUUUUUUGACUUAAGAGUUUUGAAGGCAUUGAUGACGUCAUGCGGUGUUACAUGCUUAAACUUGAACAAGAAGUCACACUUGGGUACACUACUACGCAAAAGCUUCUCAGCAUCAGUCGAAGGAAAAAAGUAGUUAGGAAACUGAUGUCCGUUUUCACCAACAAUAUCUUAACGUUUCCCUAACUAAGUGUCACUUAGAAUAAGAGCUCCCCCAAUAAUAAAGGUUAUAAGGGACACUUAAACAUUGGUGAAACGAAAUUCGUAUUAAGGGUUCCCUAAAUGCUCUUAAGGGAUCCCUAAAUUUAGGUAUUUGUUGGUGAAAAUGGGCAUUAAUAUAUCUGUGAUUUAUUUUAUAUCGUUAGCCAAUAAGAAUGUUGCUGUUUAAAUAAAGAUAGAAAAUUGAAAUUUAAGAAAUGCAGUGAUUGAUUGCGAGUGUUAUCUAAAAUAUACAUUAUAGCAAUUGCAACUGUAAAGAACUGAGCUUAAAGCUUAAAAUUGUACAUAAAAAAUAGCGAAAUUGCUCAUACUAUUAUGUACUUAGUUUACUUCCUAACUACAAUAAUAUUGUACUGAUGAUUGAAAAUGUGCUUUCCAGGGAGUUAAUAAUUUGUACCAACUGCCAUAAUCAAAAUGUUUCUCGAAAUAUUUCUAUUUUGAAAUAUCAUAAAAUUUUACAAACAUAUGUAUGUCGGCGCGGCCCACAGCGCGGCCCAAUAUUGCUGGCUGGUCCCUUGUUUGUGGUCGUCUUGGUGACGUGAGGUGCCAACGUCAAUUGAAAUAAUUUUAAAUGGAAUCUCGAAGAGAAACCAAGUUCAGACUAUGUGAUCUUGGAAAUGUAUCCUAUUUAUUGUAACCAAUGUGAUUAUUGAAGUACUGAACGAUAAUAGACGAUGUGAACAACUACUGUGGUAUUAUUUCAUAUCCUGACAAGAUGCAAGUGUAUCAAAAGAUUCUAACCACUUCUGGUGCUCCGACAUCAGAAGUGGGAUGGAUGACCUUGCCCACUGAUUGCUGCCUUGUUCGCAUAUUGGCUUUCUGAUGUUGGUGCAGCGCUAAAAGACGAAUACUCGUACUGCAGAUGCAGUCGCUAAUGAGAACACGUUAUAAGAUAUCGAUAUGGUUACGGAUCGCUGAACGCAAGUACUACUGAUGGAGUGCAGCAUUUAAUGAAGUGUGUGACGACCGAAGCGGAUUGAUUUAGAAAAGAUUGUCCAUGGAAUCGUCAUGCAAUACGGAAUAUCAUGUUGAAAGAAAUUGCGAGAAGGAAACUGACAACCGCCGUUCCUUUGUUUGUUAAAAUUAAGUGAUCGAAUUCUGAAGGCACUGAUUACAGUCCUCCAGGUGGAACCGCCUGAGUUCAAUGAUUUGAACUGUACGCACGCAUUACGAAGUUUAUUUGGUGCGAGAGCGUUCGGACCAAGUAUUCGUUAUGGACAGUGUUGAGAGCUUUUGAGAGCAAUAUUAAUGGUGAAAAAUGAAGUGAAGAUGUUCGGCGUAGCAAGCGAGAUGAUAUUCCUCUGGUUUACACGAUUCUUAUGAUUGUGUGUAAAAGGAACAUUAUACCUGGAAUGUGUCACGUCGUAGAACAGGCUAAUUCUAAGGUUGGGGGAAGAAACACCGGGAUGUGCCUUUGAUAAUGCUAGCAGAAUCCUAUCCUAAAUUGAUACCCUAAUCUUAACAAUUGUUGCAAGAAUUUCAAUGAUUUGUUCCGUUGAAGGAAUGCGUUUUAUGGCAUUGAGUGCUCGAACAGCUAAAAGAAUGCAUCGCACAUCGAUGUUUCAUAAAUUGCAUUGUUGGGGAAACGAAAUAGUGGAUAUUUUCAUAGUCUCAACGGAAAAUAACAGGACUUGGUUACCAUGGUUACUGAAACAAGAUUGGUUGCUAUGGUGACAAUAUCAGAGUUGUUAUCAAAAUGUUGUGAUAAAAUUAACCGAUUUAUGAUAUCUUUUGCAUGUGAUGAUCCCGUGAGCCUCUCCUGCUUCCUGUGGAAGAAGUCUCUGCUCGCUCUUCACUGCGGGGUCCGCGAGCGCAACGCAUGACUUCUACCGCGCGGUGUCUUCCAGCGUGAUCAAACACGAUACGCGAUGUUUGUUACAUACAGAGAUACUAAGAGCAACAUGAAUGAUGAACCUGGUGAGAUCAAUCCAAUUUUGUUUUGCGUCUUUUAUAAAGUCGUACAUCCGUAACGUUGAUAAUUGUCGACUAUCUCCUUGGUUUAGUAGUGAUAUCUAAGGACUCGGGUUUGAUCCUCGGGCUGCGUCAUAUUGCUUGAUGGACCUAGCACCUCAUUCAUUGCUUUCAAUGACUUCCAAUUCGUACACGCUAGUUUCGCCGUAGGCAGAACAUUGUAUGUAGCGUUUCACCGUUCAGGUGAUACUAUUACCCCGUACGAUAACGAAACUAUUAUAGCAAGACUAUAGUUAGUCUCGUAGGUCUAGCUGUCAUAAGCGCGGCUGCUCAGCACGAGGUCUCGGGUUCGAUUCCCGAGUCGGGCCGAAAUUGCUUUGUUGCCUUAGAAACUUUCACAAAGCAUUCCGGAGCCUGGAAAUUGCUAAUUGAUGCACCCGUGCAUCGGAGGGCACGUAAAGUAAAGGCAAGUAAAGGUCCUUUAGUAUGUUAGGUCCUGCUUGUGAUCUCUCUCCGGUCGUGUCGCAUUGCCGUCCCAUCGGACUACGACAGUGAAAGAAUAAUGAGUGCACCUGUGUCAGCGCGAAUGCUUGUUCACUAUAGUAUGUCCUGCGCAGUUGGCUAAUCUCCUUACAUGAGAAAAGCCGUCGUAGCUGGUAAUCGGCUAAGAGGACAUCUUAGCUAGUAAAUAGGAAUAAUAUCAAUCACAUGUUAGCUUUUUAGGUGUCUGUUUCUUACCUUAUUGCGUAGCCAUAGCAAUUAAUUUCCUACCUUGGAAAAUAGCUUCAAAAUAGCACGCUGUUGUUAUUUAUCGCUUACUUUUUGCUUAUCUGACUUACUUUGACUUAGAGUCCUAUGUCCCCUAGAUAGGGCAGAGGGCAUCCACAGUGCUCCGCCAUCGUGUUCGGUCUUGAGCUUUGCGCUUUAUUUCGCUCCACGUUCUGCCUAUAGUCGCCGCCUCUGCAAUGAUCGACCGCCGCCAGGAUUGUUUAGGGCGGCCACGUUUCCGCUUCCCUUGGGGAUUCCAGUCUAGGGCUUGCCUCGGGAUGUGAUCGGGGUCCCUUCGGAGCGUGUGGCCGAUCCAGUUCCACUUGCGUUGUUUGAUCUGCUGGUCGAUCGGUGUCUCUCCGCAGCGUUCCCACAGUUCUAUGUUGGAGAUUUUCUCGGGCCAGUAUAUACCGAGAAUACGACGAAGGCAGCGAUUGACGAAGACCUGGAGCUUACGCUUAAGCUUUUGCUUAUCUACUUGCUCUAUUUACUUACAUUGAGUUGCGCAGCUUUACAUUGUGCGUCAGACUUUACAUUUGCUGGUAGACUGUACCUAAUCUACUCGAAUAACCAGUUAGUAAUUUCAUCGUGUUCAGAUGUACCUACGAUGGAUACGGGUUGAUUCGGAAUAAACCCAUGUAAAGCCUGUGUGAUGGCAUAAGAGUCGCCGGGAACAGACCUGAGUAAAAUCUGUGGUAAAGUUGGUGUCAUGUCACUGUGGUUGUGAUCGUGUACCCUACAAGGCCGGAAUAGGCUGUUGGCACUGUCAAGGGACACACCGACGGUGAAAAUCCUGAGUAGAAGGUUUGAUGUGAAUUAAACGACAGCCGUAGUUGUGACGGUUCCUGUAAUUAACGUGUUGAAAGUCUGACUACCAAAAAGAGCAGAAGCCACAAAGUCUGAUAACUAGUCUUGCCGAAGUGUGACUGGUUGCCUAGGUAAUUGUGUUGAGAAAUCGCUCCCUAUAAGGCACGUAUGCCCAGCUACAUUCGGUUAGAAUGAAAGUCAAUCCAAACUUAUUGAGAGAAGGCUAGGACUGGGCUGGAUGUAGUUAGUUAACUUAAGCUCUCAUCUCUAACAAUAACGGAUGGUAAGUCUGAAGUCUAAUGUUUGGUUACCGAUGCGCAUGUUUGUCUUAUCACUACAGAUGUUGAUGGCCGAGGCUGAAGGAGAGAAGGUGAUCAACUACGUACGCUAACGCCGUGUGAGCUGAUGGCUCGCAGCUGCGGUUGCUGACACGCGCUGUUGCAAGCCAGGAUACCGUGCGAUUCUGCGGUGGUAAAGGCGAACCAACAGUGAACUGUCAAUUCGACACUUUACGAGUUUUCCCUAUGCUAGUUAAUCAGUGCUACUUACACGAGGACGUGUAAAGCGCAGGAUGGCCGUGUCGGCGCGGCCCACAGCGCGGCCCAAUAUUGCUGGCUGGUCCCUUGUUUGUGGUCGUCUUGGUGACGUGAGGUGCCAACGUCAAUUGAAAUAAUUUUAAAUGGAAUCUCGAAGAGAAACCAAGUUCAGACUAUGUGAUCUUGGAAAUGUAUCCGAUUUAUUGUAACCAAUGUGAUUAUUGAAGUACUGAACGAUAAUAGACGAUGUGAACAACUACUGUGGUAUUAUUUCAUAUCCUGACAAGAUGCAAGUGUAUCAAAAGAUUCUAACCACUUCUGGUGCUCCGACAUGUAUAAAUGUUUCGAUAUUUAUAAAUUGUUAUAAAAGUUUAAGACGUUAUAAAAUUAAUGAAAAAACUACAUAUAUUUAGAUAAAUAAUGUCAUUUAUUUAACUUUUUAUAUGUAAAGCAUUAGGUAUCUAAAAUAAUUACAUCUGCCAUACAUUUUCCAUACGUUUUUAACAUCACAUCACUUCAGUUUUUGAAUCACAGAACAAUAUUUUGUGAAAUGUUUUUCAAACAACUUAACUCUAAACAAUUUUGUUUCAUAACAUAAAGUCCUAUUAUUUCGCUCUUUUCUAGUGUUUUACACCAUUGCUCACUAAAUACCUAUUAUUAUAGCAGUUUUAUAAAAGACACUUCUGAAUUUUUAAAUCUAAUUUUUUAAGUGCCUUUCUCGGUAAAAAUGCAUCGUUAUUAGGAUUCCGUUGUAGUCCUAGUUUCCUAUGGAACCCGUAUAGUUUCGACAUGUUGACACUAUCUUAACAGUGGCGUUAAUUUAUUAUAUAAGUCCCCUAAGACGAAGAAGAUUUCUUUCUUUAUUUUCAAAUUAUACGCUAUAUUUUUAGUUUUCAUUAUUUAGUGAGAAAUGGUGAAAUCCCUCUUUAAACAAUAACCAUAGCUAGAGUAUAUUAAAAAUUAAAUUUGAUAAUUACCUAUUUUAAAAUAAAUACAAAAACCUUAGAACUACGAGAUCUUAUUCUACUUAAACUGAAUAUAAUUACAUUUAAUAGUAAUAGUUUAAUUUUUAUUGUAAAUAUUGUGCAAAUAAACUUAAUUACAUUUACAUUGAUACAGCACAAUUUAUAUAUUCACGUUCUUUUUUCAACUGUCCACAGAUUUGACUAAUGUUGAUACUGAAUGGAUUGAUAUGAGUGCUUAGUGCGAGUUUUCGUGAAUUUUUUUACGGACUCACAUGAGAGCGCGUAUACUAAGAUUUGUAUGCAGUGUUGCCAACUUAGUGGAUUUUCCACUAAUACUGGUGGUUUAAGUCCCCUAUUUAGUGGCGAAAUGUUGAAAGUACUGCGGGUCAAGUAGCGAAAUGUAAGUUUUGUGGUACAACUUUAAGGAGUUACUAUGGAGAUUUGAAGUCUCACGGAAUGUCAAAAAAGCAUCUACAAAACAAAAAGGUGAACGACUACUAUAUAAUUAUAUUAAGUACUCAUUCAUUGGUCAAAUGCGUAACUAAACAAUUUGUGAAACUACUACGCCGAUUAUAAUUUGUGAAGGAUUCGGAUCGGGUCGGAUGAAUUGCUAAACAGAUGUAAUGCUUUGUCUGUUUUAAUUUUCUAUCGUUGCCGAUUUACAUCUUUGGAUGAUUAAAUUGUUUUAGGUUACAAUAAAAUAUAAACAAUAUUUUUUUAGUGGUGAAUUUGGUGAUUUUAAGUGUGGGAUAAAUUUUUGUUAGUGGUUUUCUGGUGGUUUUAAAAGUUGACUCUGGUGGUAAGCUUCUACAACUGUUGGCAACACUGUUUGUAUGGAACAAAAACAGGUUCCAAUUUUUGACACUAGGUGGAGCUGUUUUUGUUCCAUACAAAUCUUAGUAUACGCGCUCUCAUGUGAGUCCGUAAAAAAAUUCACGAAAACUCGCACUAAGCACUCUGUUUGAUUUAAGCCCAUUUUUCACCAACAAGAUAAACGUCUGAUUAAGGAAAACAGUAGUUUAACUUUUAAUUUAUGAUGACAAGUAGGUUUCAAGAAAAGUCCUGCUUUGUAGAAAAAAAAAAAAACUGUCGUCGUUUAAUCAAGCGAUUGCGUAAACGAAUGUUGGUGAGUCUGGGCUUAACUUGAAUAUCUACACCAAUUUAAAAAAUCUACAUUUGAAAAGAAAAAUGUAAGAUACGCUUUUCUUUUUCGAAUUUAAUCUUAUUUAACAAAAAUAUAAUGUAAAUUCAAUUGCAAAAAAUCUGGGCCAGCUCAAGAAUUGUACUCCAAAACCAAAAUUAAUUAUUUCGGAUCAUUUUCUUCUUUUCUACAUUUCUUGAACUGACCAAGAAUUUUUUCUUACUUUGCUCUCUCGUAUCUAUAGAGACAUUCUAUAGAAGAGAGGGCUGUUUUGUGAUUCCUAUGUUUAAAGUAAAUGAUUAUGUACAAACCUUAGUCUAAAAUUACGUAAUAAUUACAUAAGACCUUGUCAUAUAGUAUAAGGCAUCGAGUGAGAAUUAAUUGUUACAACAAUUUUCAUAAAUCUUCUAAAAGGCAGUAAAAUAUUUAUAAAAGUUGCUAA
rnacentral:misc_RNA from 1 species